rnacentral:rRNA from 1 species
AUGGCCCUGCGAGCGGACGCGACGAGGCUCGCGUCCUCCAGCCUCCGCCGCCGCCACGGCCACCUCCUGCCGGCAGCCGCCACCAGCUUCAGUACACCCCUCUUCCUCGCCGCCCCCUCUCUCGUGGCCUGCUUGCCGCUCACCGUCCGUCUCAUUCCUCGUCAGGAUUCAAGCAGGUGCGCGAGGACGAGAAGAGCAAGCUGGUUAGAAACGGAGAAGAUGUUCAAGCGCGGCGCGGUGGGUGGAGCAGCAGAGGUUCAGGCGCCGCGCGGCGGGCAGAGCAGGAGAAGUUCAGGGGAGGUGCCAGUGGAGCAGGAGAGGUUCACGGGUGGUGGAGCAGGAGAGGUUCAUCGCCGGUGCCCUUGUCGCCGAACGGCCAUCCUUGCUGCGCUUGAUGGAGGACAGAACGGGAAACAUUUUCUGGUGGCAAAGGCGUCCAAUCCAACUCAGGUGGAGGCCAAGGAGGUUCGGCUCUCGGACCUUGCACCAAUGAUGCUGGAUGAUACCGACGUGGAGACUCUGAAGAAGGGAGGUCUAUUUGAGAUUAAGGGAGCUGACAGUUUUCAGGUUGAUGUCGAGAUAGAUUUUGAACUGACAUCAAUCGACAUCGCCGUUCCUUUCGAUCCUUCUUGA